rnacentral:lncRNA from 10 species
GUAGCAGCUGCUUAGAGCUCCUCCCCGGGAGGCUCCGGAGGGGAAUUUUCCACUGCCCCGUUCAAUUUACCAGGACAAUUUAGCUCAGCUAUACCGCGGCCUUGACUAUUUACAGUGGGGAGCGCAGGGCGGUGGAGGAGCCCUCUAAGAGUCCGUGCAAGAGGGCCGCGGCCCAGCUAGAAGGGUCUGCAGGGGGCAAGGAUGUCUGAGAUGCCCAGCGUGGGUGAGUGCACCCUCCCUCCCUGGCUCUGCUCCUCCCCCUCCCCGGAACCACCACCCCCUCAGCCCUGAGCUGCCGAUGCCCUCGGGGUUCUGUUUUCAUUCCAGGCUGUGGAUCCGGUCGUGGGAAGCAGGUUUCUGUACCUUGACCCUCCAUAGAGUGAACUUCUAGGUUCUGAGCUGACUCCUUGGAAACCCUAGACUCCAGGGACGCGCUUCUAGAACCUGCUCAGAUUGCUACUCAGUUAACAGCCUGGCCCAGGAGGAUUGCAACACCCAGCCUGGCUCCCAGGCUCCAGCCCUCACCAGCAGGGACUCAACAAACGCCAUCUGUCAGAUGAGUCAUGGGACCAGAAGCUUGGGAGAAGACAUGCAGAGCCAACCACUAACAAAACUGGCAAAUGAAAUAAAUGCCCAGAAACCUGCUCCAUCCCCAGCAUUCCUUAAGUCCUAUAAAUUGCACCACCUUUUACCAGUUUUCAGAAACUAAAAGUCAUCCUUGACAUCCGUCCAAUCAAUCACCUCCUAUUUAUCUCCCAAAUUCAUUCUUUUUUCUUUUUGAAACAGAGUUUUUACUCUUGUUGCCCAGGCUGAAGUGCAAUGGCACGAUCUCAGCUCCCUGCAACCUCCGCCUCCCAGGUUCAAGCCAUUCUCCUGCCUCAGCUUUCCUGAGUAGCUGGGAUUACAGGCAUGCGCCACUACGCCUGGCUAAUGUUGUAUUUUUAGUAGAGAUGGGGUUUCUCCAUGUUGGUCAGGCUGGUCUUGAAUUCCCAACCUGAGGUGAUCCACCCACCUUGGCCUCCCAAAGUGCUGGGACUACAGGUGUGAGCCAUUACACCCGGCAAAUUCAUUUUUAUAAUCUUGCCACCCCCACAACCACUGCCCUCAUGGACCCUGGGCACGCCUCACCCGAAUUACAGAAAUUCCCUCCCAGCUGGUAAAACUGUUUGUGUGUGGCUCUCCUUCAUUCCAUCCUCCCUGGUUUAGCCAGAGAAAUAAUUCUAAAAUGUACACAUCCCAAAGCAUCUCAUUUUCCUGCAUGCAGUCUUUCAUCAUCCAUUCACUAACUGGAGGACAACAUCUGAAUUUAUUAGUGAGCAUACAAAGGCUUUUCAUCCGCUGAACCCAGCGCAUCUGCUACCAUUUCCCUGGUCUCCGGUCAGAACUAGUGACUGUCCCAUAAACAGGUUCUGCUGGACUUCCAGUCAAGAUGGAGCGUAAAGAUGGGAUCUUGUUCUGUUGCCCAGGCUGGUCUCCAACUUCUGGCUGCAAGUGAUCCUCCCUCCUUGGCCUGGCAAAGUGCUGGGAUUACAGGGCCGCACACAUACAGAGCUGAACUUGUAUCGCCGUGUAGAUGAAGACAAACACCUUUAGGAGAUGGCAGAGAAACAAAAUGGGAAACCCUCAGGUCUCCAAAUGACUACACCAAGCAGAAUUGCCCCACCAGCCUGCACCAUUCAUUUCUAGACUAUGAGCAAGAAGUACACUUCCAUCUUAUUUAAACAACCAUAUUUGGGGUUUUUGUUGUUGUUAUUGUUGUUGUUAUAGGAGCUUAGCUUUUACUCUAAGAAAUACAGCUACUCAACUCACUUCAUUAGGAUCUUAACUAUAAUAUCAAAACCUCCUAAGCACAGAAUAAAAAAUACAGUAGAGCAAUAUCAUUUAUGAUCAUAGAUGCAGAGCUUCCAAAUGAAAUACUAGCAUAUUCAAGGAAAGAUAUAUAUACCAUGACCUAGUUGUGUUUAAUUUCUGGAAUUCAAAAAUGGAAUGUUUGACAUAAGAAAAUCUAUUAGGCCGGGCGCGGUGGCUCACGCCUGUAAUCCCAGCACUUUGGGAGGCCGAGGCAGGCAGAUCACGAGGUCAGGAGAUCGAGAUCAUCCUGGCUAAUACGGUGAAACCCCGUUUCUACUAAAAAAUACAAAAAAAAAAUAUUAGCUGGGAGUGGUGGCGGGCGCCUGUAGUCCCAGCUACUUGGGAGGCUGAGGCAGGAGAAUGGCGUGAACCCGGGAGGCAGAGCUUACAGUGAGCUGAGAUCGUGCCACUGCACUCCAGCCUGGGUGACAGAGCGAGACUCUGUCUCAAAAAAAAAAAAAAAAAGAAAAAAGAAAACAGUUUGGCAGUUCCUCAAAAAGUUAAACAUAGGAUGUUUGAAAAUUUAAACGUAAUAUGACCUAGCAAUUCAACCCCAGGUAUACAACCAAGAGAAUUGAAAACAGGUGUUCAAACAAAAACUUGUACAGGAUUGCUCAUAGCAGCAUUAUUUAUAAUAGCCAAAAGGAAGAAACUACUCAAAUGUCCAUCAGCUGAUGAAUGGAUAAACAAAAUAUGGUGUAUUUCUACAAUGGACUAUUAUUCAAUCAUAAAAAAUGAAAUGCUGAUAAAUGCCAAAAUUGACGAACUUUUAAAACAUGCUAAGUGGCUGGGUGGGGUGGCUCUAGUCCGUAAUCCCGGCAUGUUAAGAGGCCGAGGUGGGCGGGUCACUUGAGCCUGGGAGGUCGAGGCUGCAGAGAGCUGAGAUCGCGCUACUGCACUCUAGCCUGGGUGACAGAGCAGACCCUGUCUCAGAAAGAAAAGAAAAAACAGAAAAGAGAAAGAAGACAGGAGAGGAGAGAAGGGGAGGGGAGGGGAGGGGAAUGGAGAGGGGGAGGGGAGGGGAGGGGAAGGGGGAGGGAAGGGGAGGGGAGGGGAACAUCCUGGCCGGGUGCAGUGGCUCACGCCUGUAAUCCUAGCACUUUGGGAGGCCAAGGUGGGCGGAUUGCCUGAGCUCAGGAGUUCGAGACCAGCCUGGGCAACACGGUGAAACCCCGUCUCUACUAAAAUACAAAAAAAUUAGUUGGGCGUGGCGAUGUAUACCUGUAGUCCCAGCUACUCAGGAUGCUGAGGCAGAAGAAUUGCUUGAACCCAGGAGGUUGAGGUUGCAGUGACGCGAGAUUGCACCACUGCACUCCAGCCUGGGUGACAGAGUGAGACUCUCUCCCAAAAAAAAAAAAAGAAAAGAAAAGAAAAGAACAUGCUAAGUGAAAGAAGCCAGAGAAAAAAAGGCAACACAUUGUAUUAUUCCAUUUAAUGAAAUAUCCAGGAUAAACAAAUCCAUAGAAAUGAAGAGCAGCUGAGGGGUUGCUGGGGCUAGGGACGGGGGGGAUAUCAGGAAUGACUGCUUCAUGGGUACAGAGUUUUCAGGUGAUGAAAUCUUCUAGAAUUAGAUAAUAGUGAUGGUUGCACAACAUUAUGAAAAUACCAAAAACCACUGAACUGUACACUUUAAAAUUGUUAAAAUGGUGAAUUUUAUAUUAUGUGACAAUUUUGUAAAAGAAUUCUAUAUCCAAUGAAAAUAUUCUUCAAGAAUGAGAGGGAAAUAAAGGCGUUCUCAAGUGAAAAAUCAAGAGAAUUUGUCAUUAGUAGACUUGUUGUAAAAUAAAUACUAAAGAAAGUUCUUCAAACGGAAGAAAGAGGAUACCUGAAAGAAAUUUAGAACAUCAAGAAUGAAGACAGAGAAACAAAAAUGGUAAAAAUCUGGUUAAAUAUAAUAGACUAUUUUUAUCUUAAAUUCUUUAUAAUAUGUAUAUGUUGGGGCUCAGAAAACAACACCUCAAAAGUAUGGCGCUUUGGUAUGCUGAACACUUUGAACUAAAAUAGAAAGGACUUAGAAGCUACCUCAGAAUAAGGCCUUUCUGGCCUCAUCUGUUUCUAUCGCCUAGAGACUUCUAGAGACUUCUGGAGUCUCUAUCCCCCUAGAGACUUCCCCUAGAAUUUCCUUAUCUGACUAAGGAAACUUCUUUCCAAAAGAAAUGCAAUUGUCUUAAGAUCCCCUUCCUAGGAAUCUCAUCAAAUAAUCAGAAAAGAUUAACCACCAGAGAAGAAUGGAGACUAAAGUCAGAUGACUCUUCAUCUAGUCCUCUGAGGCAGUGCCAAGAGAUAACCUGGGAGGCUUUAUCUACCAGGUUAAGUUUCACCCCUCACCUUCCGGUAACUUGCUGGCGUCGUUUAGUUUCCUAGGAGAAUCAUUUACAAGAUAAUGUCUGAGCCUCCUGGGCCCAUUCAUUUCCCCUAAAAAUCAUUAACAACCCCUGCAUUUUCCCCAUCUCCCUCUUCCCUAUGAAGCAGAUAUAUAAGCCUCAAUCAUCUGGCCCUUUGGGUCUCAUAUUUAAUAUUGUACCCAUGUUUUUGUAUGUUAAUAAAUUUAUAUGCCUUUUUCUCCUAUUAAUCUGUGUAUUGUCAGUCAUUUUAGCA